UCCCCUAGCUCGAACUUCCCCCGCCAACGACCCUUCCUUUUCUCAUUACCUCCCUCCCAAAAAGUCGUCAUCACAGGAGCACCCUCCCCUCAGCUCCGCCUCUUCUGGGGACUUCAACACGCCACCUCGGUGCCCGCCCAAGCCGAAGGUUUCUAACCCUGCUCUGCGCCUUUACUCCAACCCCAGUUAUGGGGCGAAAGAGCCCCAGACUUGGAGGACACUAGAGGAAAGGUGCUCCCCCUCCUAGCCAGACCUCCCGCCACCAUGCGCAGCAGCCGCGGGUCUCCUGCUGCUGCACGAGCAGCAGAGCUCCCGGGGAUCCCGGGGAGGAGCUAGGGAGCCGAGUUGGGUCACGUGAAGAUGCGCGGGGGGCUACCGCGCCCCCCUUCUCUCUCCACCACCCCCUUUCUCUCCUUUCCUCUUUCUGCCUCGGUUUCACUGAAGGCGGCCAUCUUAGUCAAGCAAACAACUGUCACUUUCAGGAGCCCCAAAGCUGUGGGCUGGGGUCGACCUCGGGCCUCGCCUCUUCGUAGGCGUUCUUCUUAGAACGGUCUCUACAAGUCGGGUCAUGGCUCCUCCUCUUGUCCGCGUGGCUGGGAAGCGGAGGAAUACAGGCAAUCAAGCAGUGGAUCCUCUGCUAUAUUCUUCAUCAGUAGAAAAAAUCUUUACUUCUUCUUCAGCUCGAACUGCUCAUGAGAAGUAUCAUUUAUCUGCUGGUCCCAAUGAAGCUGGACAGUGGGUGCCAACACGCUCCUUGUGACUCCUUGGACCUCAAGAAUAAGAAGAAAAAGCAAAAGGAGGCGGAGAAGGAUUAGGACAUGCCAGUCAACAGAAAAGAGAGAGUGGAAGAGAAAACUGAAAUGUCUGCGUCAUGGACUUGCUCUAAUCAAAUCCAAGAAUUAGAAAAGUUUGUUUCUAACAUUAAUGUAUUAGCAAAAAAUUUUAACCUCCCUAACAACGCUUCUCAUGACCUUAUUGAUUGGAUAUACCAACAUAUAAUGCCAAUACCCUCAUGCUUGUCUCAUAUUUUACUGUUAAUUGCCUUUUUUUAUUGUAUUGCUGUUGCUUUUACCUUGUAUUUUCCUAUGCUUUCUCUCUCUCUUAAGACAGUCCCUUACAGGACUGGAAGCCGAGUGGCACCCCCUUCAUAGAAAACAAAAAGGGGGAGAUGCUAGGGAACUUAGCAACAAGAAUGCUAAGGAACAGAAUAACAAGAGUCUGCAUUAAUCUUGUGACCCUUCAUCAUGUACCUUGCACACAGUGCCCCAUUUGCGUAAGCAACCAGUCUGUGCAAAGACAAGUCUUGUGCAAACCUGACCCUUAUGGUUUGUGGCUGGUUGGAUCUCAGACAGCUCAGGAAUGGGUUGGGAAUGGAUGUUGAGGCCUCGAGUGUAUGUUCUGCCUGACUGACUACAAGUCCAGGGUAUACACGCUGUAGACACGUCAGGACAGGCAUCAAGCAUGCACCAAAUCGAGAUAGCCUUCACCAUCUCAGGAGUUGAACUCCUGGAUACACAAGCUAUACACAUACUUGUUGCUGUGGCACAUUGGCAAGGGCAGAUGAGAAGGGUAUAAGUACAGAACAGCAGAGGGAGAGAGAGGAAGAAGAGACAAAAUGAUGUAAUCAAGUAAUAAAACUUCUCUAACUGCAUUAGUGGUGUCUGACUAUUCUGUAAUAUCUGGAGACAGCUAAAGGUCAUAGAGUUGAUGAUAAUUGUGGGUAAGUGCUCAGACUCCAGCUGGUGUCAGCAUGUCUGCACUAGCUGAGGACCCCAACAAUGUACCACAAAUUCUGUAGCAUCAAUGAACAUUUACUUUGCUUUUAGUUGUACCACCAAAAAAAAGUGCUACUAUAAGCAUUUUGGUGCUUAAAGAACUUUCUUUUUUAUCAGUGACCUUCUUGAGGCAUAUGGUGAACUUUAUUUUCUUUUUUUUUUUAAAUGAUCAUAUCUGCUUAUGUAGUAUUUGCAUAGAUGAUAGAAGAAAUUAAAUUAUGAU